GUAAAUUUUCUCUAGAAGAAACCUACAUCCAUUUAGGUUUUCUAUUCAUACAAUGAAAUUUAAAAUUUUCGGCCGUUUCCCACAAAAAUGAGGUGACCCAAAGGAGGACACAGUCACUAUCACUCAUUCCCUAUCUUCCUUAACUAGUAUCAAGCCUUGAUACCAGUGAAGGGUUCUUGAUCCAAAUAAGUGGAACUAACCUCCCUAUUCUUGGUUCAAAUCUGACUUCCUUUUAUUACCCUGGUACUACCUGGAGAGUAUUCAGGGGAUCAACGCCCCCGCGGCCCGGUCCAUGACCAGGAUCCCUAUGGAUUUAGCAGUCUCUUUGAAUUUAAUAAUAUUCCCUAUGUCUUUCCAGAAAUGCUCGUGCAUCACACUUGCAAUGACACACUGAACUGCAACAUUUCAUCUUGCUCUAUAUAAUUUUAACAUCUGAUAAUAUCCAAUUUCACAAGCUUGUUUUACUUCAAUUUAACUAUAAUACAGAGUAGUACUUUGCCUACAAUGCUGCGAGUGCUACAGCUUUAAACUACAACAUAUAAAAAUAAGUUCUCAGUGUUAUGAAAUCAAAAUAUUGGUUUAUAAUCCAGGAGUGACCGACUGAUUGAGAAAUUAUCAGGAAACAAUGUCCUCAAGGGAAGUGCACCGAUACCAGUGGGAGUCCUUGAUCACAGGAAGUGCAUCUCUUCUCUUGAAUCACCCAUCAAGGGUGAUGGCGAGGGGCUCUUGAUCUAGGGAAUUGGAUCUGUGCUCCAGUUCCCCGAAUUGAGCCUACCCUGAAUGCCUUCCACUCCCCCUCCCACAGGCGCUGUAUAAUCCCUACGGGUUUAGCGCUCUCUCGUGAUUAUAAUAAUUCUCUUGAAUCUACCCUGACUGCUUCCCAUUCAACAAGCGCUGUGUGACCCCUGCGAGUUUAGCGCUUUCCUACUGAUUAACAGUAACAAUAAUUAUAAUAAUCAUAAUAAAACAAGCAUAUAAUAAUUCACAAAUAAAGAUAAACAGAUUAGAAACCUCAGUUUCAAAAAUACUGUUAACAUUAGUUUACUCUCAGCUGUGAUGCUGAAGGACUUUUGUUCCAGGGAGGUGGUUACUCCUAACGUUCCUUGGAUCAAAAUUGAAUACUUCCCCAUCCUGACGUGCUGCAUGAGUCCUACGGAUUUAGUGUUUUCCCAUUAUAUAUUAGUAAUAAUUAUAUAGUUAAUAAUAAUUAUAUAGUAAUAAUUAUAUAGCAUUAAUAAUUAUAUAGUAAUAAUUAUAAUAUGAGUCAGCCAAUAAUUCUUUUGCAAACUGUUAACUUUGGGAGAUAUUAGCAACAAAAUUAUUUUUUUUUAUGGGAAGUGGAAUGUAUUUGGUAAGACAUGAGGUAAAUCUGAAAGUCAGCCAAUCAGCGGUUAGUAUCAGGUCACGUGACUUGCCGGGUAGGUGAAGUAUAUAGUUCCAAUAAUACCAAACACCAGAACAAUAUCUCUCGAGUGUAAUGCAACCGAAUUGACACUUAGACGCCAAAAUUUCUCAAACUUGGUGGACAAGACGAAUGUGCAGAACUACAAUGCAAGAAGUCGUAAAGUACACCAAGAGCCCAGUGUCUACAACAGGGAUGGCAGUGAUCUGAGUGAUGGAGAAGUAGCAAGCAACGAACGCAGCGCACCGGACAGCCUCUGCCAGUGGUGCCCACACCCACCCGUCAAACAUGGCCGUCAGCACGCCCACAGACACGAAUAUGAAGAUCAGCAUCGAUAGCAUUAUACCCAGUGAGCCCUGUAGUGUAGCGGGCUAGCUGCGGGAUUUUCAAGGAUAGUUCCUGGUCAAAGAGGCUGACCAGGUCCCUACUUAACAGAACUCAGUGUGAAUGCUUUGAGAAGAUACCAGAGCAGCGAACGGACAUCCCAGUGCAUCGUUUCAGCGUAAAUGGUUGAAGUGUUGUGCAGUUUUAAGAGGGUUUGGUGUUGUAGAAUCAGGACCAGUCAGCGCCUCCCCCCUCUCCGCUGGGGGGGAGGGGGAGGGCGUGUGUAGUAAACAGUGACCCUCUCAUAACGCCUCACCCCUGCCCGACCCCCCCGCACUCACCCACCCAACUCCCA